rnacentral:rRNA from 1 species
CGGAGCUAAUACCGGAUAAUAUAUUGAACCGCAUGGUUCAAUAGUGAAAGACGGUUUUGCUGUCACUUAUAGAUGGAUCCGCGCCGCAUUAGCUAGUUGGUAAGGUAACGGCUUACCAAGGCAACGAUGCGUAGCCGACCUUAGAUGGUGAUCGGCCACACUGGAACUGAGACACGGUCCAG